rnacentral:sRNA from 4 species
AAGGGCGCACGGUGGAUGCCUUGGCACUAGGAGCCGAAGAAGGACGUGACAAACGACGAUAUGCCUUGGGUAGCUGUAAGUAAGCGAUGAUCCAGGGAUUUCCGAAUGGGGGAACCCAACAGGUACUACCUGUUACCCAUAUCUGUUAAGGA